GUACAUUUUCACUGAACUAGGACACUUUUUAUAAUAGUUUUUCGAUAUCGCUCGGGCAAAAAUAAUCACGAAUAUAAUGCCUACCCAUGUUAAAACUACAAUAAAGUAUAGUUUGCAUCAAUUAUUUCUUGAACCUACCAUUUUUUUUUGUCUGUGUUGGAUUUGUGUGGCAUUGAAAAAAAAACGGGUAUAAACUACACAGUGCAGCUUCCAACAAGAAUACAAGAUUUAUUGAUUUUCAAAAUGCGACCAAAAUUAAAAAUUUGCUCGCAGCGGAAAAAAUUCAACAGUUUGAUUUUCAUUGAAAUAAAAUAAUUGUUAUGAUUUACACACCGUUACUUUUUCCAAUAUAAAUAUUCGAACUAUUUUGUUUGUUGUUUCCUUUAUAAAUUUACAUCAUUUUUAAAAAGACCACGCGUCUUCGAUAUUUAGAAGACUAUAAAAGCGAUGUUCAUUAUCUUUCUUCUGCUGUAAGUUUAAUUUAGUUAUUUUGUGUCAUAAUUGCCAUCUCGUAUGUUUUAAAUUUGAAUAAAGAAGAUUCAGGUUGUCUUAUACGUCAAUGAUACACACACAAAAAAAACGAUAACAAAUAAAAUAAGGUGCAACAUUCAUUCUCCAUGAAAAGAAUACAUCACAUGGAUGUAAUUUUUGUAAGAAAAAUACCAAUUUCGUGAGAAGUUGUGUGUUGGACUUGAAGAGCCAAGGCAAACUGACAAAUAUCUGAAUGAACGAAUCGAUUUAUGGUAUAUAUAAAAAAAAACAAAGCCCACAUGGUUAGCAUUGAAUAAAUAGAAGGCCACUCUUAAAUGAUCACAACGUAGAAGUUUUUGUUCUCUUAAUCAAUAAGAUAUUUUCUGAAAUAACGCGGGUC
rnacentral:lncRNA from 1 species